rnacentral:lncRNA from 1 species
CAAAGAGAGGCGUCUAGAGCGACGUUGGUUUAGCCAAUAGACCUGUGAAAUGUCACUGAUGGACGGUAGAGGGCACCAACCGGAAAACUACUGAAGAGUGAACGACAUGUUCGCCAGCCAAUUGGCGGGAGGCAAAGUCCCGCCCACGAGGUGGUUGAUGGACAGCAACAGGAAGCUAGAUGAGGAGGGGCUUAGCCGAGGAGUGGUUUUGUAUUGGUCGUAGUUGACCUUCCACCCACCUCGAACCCAAAAGAUGAGUGAUAGAUCUCCCCUAAAGCCAAUCAGAAGUCCUUAGGGUGAGGCCCAGAAAUGCCCUAUAAAUAGUACAUACAUUACACUUCAAUCCAGUGUCGCCCUGGUGUGGCACGGGCCUCCUGCUCUUCGGCCACUCAAGUCCCGUGCCUGCCUCUCGCCCUCUCCACCCCUCCUGAUCCGAUGACCACAGCUCCGUGUCUGCAUCUCUGAGUCCAGGCUUCCCGUGGCCGACUGGAGACGAUCCUAGGGACAAAGUGAAUUCCCCAGGAACCGGAGAAGAGAGAGCGAGCCUGCGAGCCUGCACGGGAGCCCGAGACGCACCCACGCACCAAGGAAGAAACAGAGAGACACUCCCCAAGAUAAAGGGAGAGACUCCAGCGAAGAAGCAGAGACCCGGGCCACAGAGAAGCCUGCGCAGGGAGCCGGAGACGCACAGAAGGACGGAGGAAUGGAGAGGUUUCCAUUUCUCUUGAAUGGAGACAAAAAAGAUACAGAAUGGGCAAACAAAUAUAGCAAACCUCUGGUUUCUUGUUGUAUUUUAUUAAAUCUUGGGUAACUCUUGGAGAAUAGACCACUGACGUUGCAUAAAGGCUGGGCUCGGAGGGGAGGCGGGAGGACAGACAGUAAGAAGCAUCGGGUUGAGCCAAGACAAAUUAUGAAGAGAGCCACAUAUCACAAAGGUUUGUACACAGUAGGCGCUCAAUCAUCACUGAUGGCAGGGGACCCCUCUCUCCUGAGGCCAGGACAACUGAAAAUUUAAAGGCAGCAAUGGUGGGGGGGCCGCCUGGCUGGCUCAGUUGGAAGGGCAUGCAACUCUUGAUCUCCCAGUGGUGGUGACUUCAAGCUCCACGUUGGAGGAGAUAACUUAAAUAAAUAAAGUUUAAAAAAAAACA